rnacentral:tRNA from 5 species
GCCGGCUUAGCUCAGUUGGUAGAGCAGUUGAUUUGUAAUCAUCAGGCCAGGGGUUCGAAUCCUCUAGCCGGCACCA